UCGAACGGCACCCACCUCCGGGUGGAAGCGAGUGGCGAACGGCUGAGUAACACGUGGAGAACCUGCCCCCUCCCCCGGGAUAGCCGCCCGAAAGGACGGGUAAUACCGGAUACCCCGGGGCGCCGCAUGGCACCCCGGCUAAAGCCCCGACGGGAGGGGAUGGCUCCGCGGCCCAUCAGGUAGACGGCGGGGUGACGGCCCACCGUGCCGACAACGGGUAGCCGGGUUGAGAGACCGACCGGCCAGAUUGGGACUGAGACACGGCCCAG
rnacentral:rRNA from 1 species